rnacentral:rRNA from 1 species
UCGUAACUAGGUCUCCGUUGGUGAACCAGCGGAGGGAUCAUUACAGAGUUAUACAACUCCCAUACCAUCUGUUAACCUACCCAGUUAUGCCUCGGCGUAAGCUCGGUUGGAGGCACCUGCAGCUACCCUGUAGUUGCGGACUGCCAACUCCAGCCGCGGCCCGCCGGCGGUACACUAAACUCUGUUUUAUUUUAUAUUCUGAGCGUCUUAUUUUAAUAAGUUAAAACUUUCAACAACGGAUCUCUUGGUUCUGGCAUCGAUGAAGAACGCAGCGAAAUGCGAUAAGUAAUGUGAAUUGCAGAAUUCAGUGAAUCAUCGAAUCUUUGAACGCACAUUGCGCCCAUCAGUAUUCUGGUGGGCAUGCCUGUUCGAGCGUCAUUUCAACCCUUAAGCCUAGCUUAGUGUUGGGAAUCUGCUGUACUGCAGUUCCUUAAAGACAGUGGCGGAGCGGCGGUAGUCCUCUGAGCGUAGUAAUUUAUUUCUCGCUUUUGUCAGGCUCUGUCCUCCCGCCAUAAAACCCCCAAUUUUUUAGUGGUUGACCUCGGAUCAGGUAGGAAUACCCGCUGAACUUAAGCAUAUCAUACGCGAA